ensembl:rRNA 5S_rRNA 5S ribosomal RNA
AGUCUCCAACACAUCACCCUGAACGCACCUGAUCUCAGAAGCUAAGCAGGGUCGGGCCUGGUUAGUACUUGGAUGGAAGAAGAAAUGAGAGAUAACUGAGCAAAAACAGAUCAUUGAAAUUU